AUUUCAAAACCGCUAAAGGAGCUAAUGUCUGGCAGCUGUAAACACGACCUCGACCAUCCCAUCCUGCAGUUGCUAAUAUCUUGUUAUCACUUCGUAUACGAAUAUUUUGUUGUCCACAAUGCUUUGUCUUUCUAAAUAUAGGAUGAGGCAGACUACCAAGAUCAUCAGCUAUAGAUGAAGGAGUAGGAUGCAGACAUAUACAGUCAUCAGCACCCGUUGAAAAUAAUUUGGAACCAGCGUACUCUACCGAUAAAACUGGUUGAGAAUGACUUUUGUAGGCGUAAACCAUCUUCCAAACAGCUUUAAAAUCGAGGGUAACAGUCUUUACAUUUUCUAAUGAACAUAUGUACUGAACCACAUGACCGCUUUCGUAACCGGCAGCUAAUAGUACAUACUUCUCGUCAGUAACGGUUACUGAGGUUGACAUUACUGAUCCUGUUUUACCAACAGACUCUUCUGGCUGAAUUCUCGUCUGUAGUCUUUUUCCGCAAUCCUCUUUGUGUGUUUGAGGAUGAUACAAUGAUUCAUCAUCAUAUACAUCAAGCUCUUCAAAGUUCAAUGUAUUGCAUAAAACUACUAUUUUAGAUUGAGGAGAGUAAGAGAAGGGGCAAAAGGUUAGGGAAUUAACAACGAUAUUGGAAUGAAUAGAUAUAAAUGCGCUGCUCUUCUCAGUUUCAGAAGAGGCUUCAGGACCGUAAUUUUGAAGUUCAGCUAGUUUUGAUAAUGACAUAAAAUUGUCGGUCAUGCAAUUAAAAUCGAUUUUCCAAGUGACGAGACGACAGUCUCUACCGUGAGUGCAUAAGGCUCCUCCCUUGACUAUUUGCAUGCCCAAUAUGGUUUUUGUAUGAGCUCUCCAGGCGCAUUUUGGUCGCAUACUAGUAAGACACCAACAAAUUACAAAACCUGCCUCAUCACCAGAAUAUAAGUAUUCAUUAGCGUCAAAAAGUACACUAGUGACACUGCUAGAAUGACCACGUAAAACGUAAAAUGGAGUAGGAACUACCAUGAAAAUUUAAAUUAAAGCAUCCACUUUGAGCAAAUAUUUGUAAUCAUCAAGCUGAGAGGAUAGGGGAACAAUACAAAUUGAACUGUAAAACGAAUUGUUGGUGGUAAGGGAAUCAAUUUUAAUAAGCGGUAUAAGACAAAAUUAUAACGGUGAAUCCAGAAGGCAUUUUUUUUUACCAAGUGAUAUACCAUACUUGUCAAACUACAUAUUUACUACUAGUACGAAUGAACGAUAACAAUAGUGCAAAAAGUAGUAGAUAAGAAAAUGAAAUAAAAUUCUACUAUACCUGACAUUACAAAAAAAAAUCAGUCCUAAAAGAACAAAUUGGUAUCGUUUUAAAUGAUUUCAUUGCUAAACAUAACAAAUGUCAUUACUCUGAGCUUGUUCGUCUGAUGACAGUAGAUAUUCAACAACUUGGUUAAUUGAUCAUUCGUAUCGGAGCAUCAAAAAAUAAACAAUCAAGGUCAUCAAGCUAACAUUUACAUA